AGAACACGUGAAAUGGAGAAUUUCAGGGCUAACAUUUCUUGUUUUGUUUCUGAAAACAUCGGCAUGUCCUAAAAAGUGUCGCCUGUGCCCAUCAUCUCACAGGCUUGGGAGCAGGACACCGCCGGCUCACUUUAAAGCCAAGGGAAAGAAUUUGGACAACAAUCUGGAGAAGACAUCAGUGUCAGCAGAGCUCCACUUUCAUCUGUGGGCGAAGGAUUACCUAGGUGCCAAGCUACCUAAAAGGGAAGGGCCCCUGUCCUAUGAUCACGUGACUUGCUUCACCUUGUCAAUCACUUG
rnacentral:antisense_RNA from 1 species